GUUUUAGUAAUUUAAUAAAAAUAUUGGUCUUGUAAACCAAAAAUAAGUAACCCUUCUUUUAAAACU
rnacentral:tRNA from 1 species